UCUAGAGUNUCGGAGAGGAAAGUGGAAUUCCUAGUGUAGCGGUGAAAUGCGUAGAUAUUAGGAAGAACACCAGUGGCGAAGGCGACUUUNUGGACGAAAACUGACGCUGAGGCGCGAAAGCCAGGGGAGCGAACGGGAUUAGAUACCCCGGUAGUCCUGNCCGUAAACGAUGGGUACUAGGUGUAGGAGGUAUCGACCCCUUCUGUGCCGGAGUUAACGCAAUAAGUACCCCGCCUGGGGAGUACGACCGCAAGGUUGAAACUCAAAGGAAUUGACGGGGGCCCGCACAAGCGGUGGAGUAUGUGGUUUAAUUCGACGCAACGCGAAGAACCUUACCAGGUCUUGACAUNNNUGGACAGAACCAGAGAUGGUUCCUCUUCUUCGGCAGCAGAAAACAGGUGGUGCACGGUUGUCGUCAGCUCGUGUCGUGAGAUGUUGGGUUAANNNNNNNANNNNGCGCAACCCCUAUCUUAUGUUGCCAGCACUUUGGGUGGGGACUCAUGAGAGACUGCCGCAGACAAUGCGGAGGAAGGCGGGGAUGACGUCAAAUCAUCAUGCCCCUUAUGACCUGGGCUACACACGUACUACAAUGGGAGUUAAUAGACGGAAGCGAGAUCGCGAGAUGGAGCAAACCCGAGAAACACUCUCUCAGUUCGGAUCGUAGGCUGCAACUCG
rnacentral:rRNA from 1 species